rnacentral:rRNA from 1 species
UACGGGGGGGCAAGCGUUGUUCGGAAUUACUGGGCGUAAAGGGCUCGUAGGCGGCCAACUAAGUCGGACGUGAAAUUCCCGGGCUCAACCUGGGGGCUGCGCUUGAUACUGAUUGGCUUGAAUGCGGGAGAGGAUAGUGGAAUUCCCAGUGUAGAGGUGAAAUUCGUAGAUAUUGGGAAGAACACCGGUGGCGAAGGCGGCUAUCUGGCCCGUAAUUGACGCUGAGGCGCGAAAGCGUGGGGAGCAAACAGG